CGGUUUAUUUGGGUUAUUCGGGUCAUUUCGGUUUAUUUAUUCGGUUCAAAAAUAUAAUGUAAAUGUUUAUUUGGGUUAUUUCGGUCCUAUUGGGUUAAUAACCGAACCUAAACCCGUAUUAUCCGAACCAAACCGGUCCAUAUUAGUAUAAUCAGUCCGGGUUUCGGUUCCCAUUUUUUUUAUCCGAUUCGGGUUCGGGUCGGUUCCGGCCCGAAGCACAUCCCAACUUAUAUUGCUGCCCAAAUCUUCAUCUUUCUUGGACUUGAAGCUACAACAAACAUUUUUAUGGGUAAUUGUUUCUUAGCAGGGAGGGCUUGGAUGUGUAAAUAGAGGAAAUCAAGCUUAAAUGGACAUUGAUGUGUGAAUAACAAGGCAUCAGGUUAGAAAAGUUAGCAGUCCACCAGAUAAAUAAUUGGGUUCAAACAUUUCAAUUGGUUCAACAAUUCAUUCAGCCCUCACAACUGAAGCGAUUUCACCGGUUGCGGCCUUAUGUUCUUUUGAGAGGCAACCUGAUUUUUCCUGUAAAUGCAUACCAGUGAUCGAAAUGGAAGAGAAGAAAGUAAUCCUUAAGAUUAGUCAUAUUGAAAGAGGCUGACUCACCAUUCCUCUUCAACUUCAUGGAAUUAGGCAUGCUAUUCUUAUUGGAGAUGAAAACCAAUUACCAACAACGGUUAUAAGCAAUUUAAGUCUAUAUUGUUUUUCUGUUUUCAAAGUUUUGUUAUAUAUUAUUUUUAGUUUUAGUUUUAUGUAAUACUCAUAGUGAUUGUUUGUUCAUGGAAUUGA